ACCCCCCCCCUCGACUCUGCUGGGCACGGUCCUGAAACAAGAUGGCCGCCAGGAGAGAAGAUGGCCACCAGGAAACAAGAUGGCCGCCAGGAGACAAGAUGGCCACCAGGAGACAAGAUGGCCGCCAGGAGACAAGAUGGCCGCCGGGAUUUAAGAUGGCUGCUGGGAGUCACGGGAGUUGGCGGAGGGCAAGAUGGCCGCCGGGUUUGGUGGGCUGCUCGAAGUCAAGAUGGCUGCCGGGAAGAAAGAUGGCUGCCUGGAGUCAUGAGAGUUGGCGAGAGUCAAGAUGGCUGCCGGAUUUCGCUGUCAGGUUGUAGUCAAGAUGGCUGCCUGGUCACAUGUUGGUCAGAGUCAAGAUGGCCGCCAGGAGGCAAAAUGGCUGCCAAGUUUUUGUAUCUUUUUGUGGUCAAGAUGGCUGCCGGGUUUCGCUGUCAGCUGGUGGGCAAGAUGGCUGCCAGGAACCAAGAUGGCUGCCACGCUUCAGUGUCAGGUCCUAGUCAAGAUGGCUGCCUGGUCACAUGUUGGUCAAAAUCAAGAUGGCCGCCAGGAGGCAAAAUGGCUGCCAAGUUUUUGCAUCUUCUCGUGGUCAAGAUGGCUGCCAGGAUUUGCUGUGAACUUGUAGUCAUGAUGGCCGCCGGGAAUAAAAAUGGCUGCCUGGAGUCAUGGGAGUUGGCGGGAGCCAAGAUGGCCGCCAGGUUUCGCUGUCAGCUGGUGGUCAAGAUGGCUGCCAGGAACCAAGAUGGCCGCCAGGUUUUGGUGUCAGUUCCUCGUCAAGAUGGCUGCCUGGUCAUGUGUUUGUCAGAGUCAAGAUGGACGCCAGGAGGCAAAAUGGCUGCUGGGAGUCACAGAGGUUGCCGAGGAUCAAGAUGGCCGCCAGUUGAGCUUGAAAUCAAGAUGGCUGCCGAGUCAGGUGCUGAGCAGUCAAGAUGGCUGCCAGGAAGCAAAAUGGCCGCCUGGCUUCUGUGUUUGAGGUCAAGAUGGCCGCCAGGUCAUGUGAUGAGUGGAUCAAGAUGGCCGCCAGGAAGCAAGAUGGCCGCCACAGAGUCCCAAGAUGGCGGCUGCUGCAGACAUUGAUUUCAAGAUGGCCGCCACUUAUGACAUCAUCAAUGGUGACAUCAUCAUUCAAGAUGGCCGCCUGUGCUGUCACCAAAUCCAAGAUGGCCACAGGAAGUGACAUCACAGACACGUGAGGUCAGCCAUCUUGGAUUCACCAUGGCGGCCAUCUUGGGGUCAUUGAAAGGUCACCCUGGUGGCCAUCUUGGAACUGCCCCGGAGGCCAUUUUGUGACCCCGCCCCAUUUCAUGGCAGCCAUCUUGGGGUCAACCAAAGGUCACUGUGUCGGCCAUAUUGGGGUCAAUCAAAGGUCACCAGGUCGGCCAUAUUGGAAGAUCAGGGGUGCCCCUGUCCGCCAUAUUGGGGCUCCCCCGUCAGCCAUCUUGGAGUCAAUCGGAGGUCAAUUUGUCGGCCAUAUUGGCACAAUUUUGUCGGCCAUAUUGGAACCACCCUGUCAGCCAUUUUGGGGUCAACUAAAGGUCACACUGUCAGCCAUUUUGGGGUCAACUAAAGGUCACCCCGUCAGCCAUAUUGAAGUCUACCGAAAGCGACCAUGUCAGCCAUAUUGGAAUUACCCAUAUAUCACGUGACCACAUCCAGGCCGCCGUCGGCCAUUUUGUGUAGCGCCAUGGUCGGCCAUUUUGUAUUUUACCGUUCGCCAUUUUGCAUCCCACCAUUGUCAGCCAUUUUGAAUUUCACCAUAGUCUGCCAUUUUGUAUCCCAACAAUGUCGGCCAUUUUGUGUUGCGUUAUCAUCAGCCAUUUUAUAUUUCACCAUCAUCGGCCAUUUUGUAUUUCUCCAUCGUCCACCAUUUUGUAUUUCACUGUCGUUGGCCAUUUUGUAUCCCACCGUCGUCGGCCAUUUUCUGUUGCACCAUUGUCAGCCAUUUUGUGUCGCAUAUCGUCGGCCAUUUUGUAUCCCACCAUUGUCGGCCAUUUUCUGUUGCGCCAUUGUCAGCCAUUUUGUGCCCCAUCAUCGUCAGCCAUCUUGUAUCCCACCACUGUCGGCCAUUUUGUGUCGAAUAUCAUCGUCCAUUUCAUAUUUCACCAUCGUCGGUCAUUUUGUGUUGAGCCAUCGUCAGCCAUUUUGUGUCGCAUAUCGUCGGCCAUUUUGUAUCCACCAUCGUCAGCCAUUUUGUAUUUCACCAUUGUCGGCCAUUUUGUGUUGCAUAUCGUCAGCCAUUUUGUAUCCCACCAUUAUCGACCAAUUCCUAUCCCACCAUCGUCGGCCAUUUUGCAUUUCACUAUCGUCAGCCAUUUUGUGUCACGCCGUCGUCAGCCAUUUUG